rnacentral:rRNA from 1 species
ACUGCGGACGGCUCAGUAAAUCAGUUAUAAUCUGCUCGAUUGUUAAAGGUUAUUGGAUAACCGUGGGAAAUCUAGAGCUAAUACAUGUAAUCAAGGGUACUUUUGUAUCCGAUGGCAUUUAUUAGAAAAUGACCAACCGUAAUGAAUAAUUACGUGGUGAAUCUAGAUAACUUUGCAGAUCGUAUGGCCUUGAGCUGACGACAUUUCGAUUGAAUUUCUGCCCUAUCAACUAUUGUCGGUAGUGUAGUGGACUACCGAGGUUUUUACGGGUAACGGGGGAUCAGGGUUCGAUUCCGGAGAGGCAGCCUGAGAAACGGCUACCACAUCCAAGGAAGGCAGCAGGCGCGCAAAUUACCCAAUCCAGACAAUGGGAGGUAGUGACGAAAAGUACCGGAUGGCAAUUUUUAAUUGCCAAUCUGGAAUGGAACCAAUUUAGCAAUUUGGUUGAAAAACGAACUGGAAGGCAAUUCUGGUGCCAGCAGCCGCGGUAAUCCANCUCCAUUACGUUUCUCAAAGUUGCUGCGCUUAAAACGCUCGUAGUUGGAUCACAAACUGUGUAUUGGUGGAUAAAAAUGUGGUGUUAAUAUCAGAGAUUCUCGUGUAUGUUAUCAUAUAUGGGAUGAUCUGUGUGAUGUUGCAUGAGUAUCGCAAGCUAGUACACAGUAAUUGCACGUGAGGAUAAUGAUUGGCCUUGAGUGAGCUGAUUUUUGUGUCUCACGGAGUGUGCCUUGAGUAAAUCAGAGUGCUUAAAGCAGGCUUUACGCUUGAAUGUUAUAGCAUGGAACGAACAAUCGGGUAUAGUGUAUAUUGGUUUUUGGUGGCCAAUAAUAUGGUCAACGUCAAUGUACCACACCGACCACCAAUUACGGAUGUUGGUUCCGUAUUGGGGUAUUGAUUAAGAGGAGCGGUUGGGGGCAUUGGUAUUUGGCAGCGAGAGGUGAAAUUCUUGGACCUGCCAAGGACUAACAAAUGCGAAGGCAUUUGUCCAGACCGUAUCCAUUAAUCAAGAACGAUAGUGAGAGGUUCGAAGACGAUCAGAUACCGUCCUAGUUCUCACUGUAAACUAUGCCAACUCGGGAUCAGUUUGGAGCCGCAUCCCUGCUCGAGGUUGGUCCCCCUAGGAAACUUGAAGUUUUUCGGUUGCGGGGGGAGUAUGGUCGCAAGGCUGAAACUUAAAGGAAUUGACGGAAGGGCACCACCAGGGGUGGAGCCUGCGGCUUAAUUUGACUCAACACGGGAAAACUUACCUGGUCCGAACAUCCGAAGGAUACACAGACCGAUAGAUCUUUGUUGAUGGGGUGAAAAGUGGUGCAUGGCCGUUCUUAGUUCGUGGAGUGAUCUGUCAGGCCAAUCCCGGUAACGAACGAGACUACAUUCUCCAUUUGACGCGUCAAAGUCGACAAGGGCUGCACGCGUUACUGGCAACGGUGACGUUUGUGGUUUCUGUUGUGGUGAUAUGUAAAUGUUUUACUUGAAGGCUUUACCUGUUACAGGUGGGGAGAUUAGAGUGAUGCGUUUGUGUCCCCUUUGACUCGCAAUGCUUUGUUUUUUAAAUAAAGUGUUGUAUCAUGGAGAGACAGCGGAACUAUAUCAAAAUCCGAGGAAGUGUAGCUAUAACAGGUCCGUGAUGCCCUUAGAUGUUCAGGGCUGCACGCGCGCUACAAUGAUAGCAACAACGAGUUUNUAAAUCGAAAGAUUUGGGUAAUCUUGCAAUUGCUAUCGUGAUGGGGAUCGAUGUUUGUAAAUACGUCGUGAAAGAGGAAUCCCUAGUACGUGCGAUUCAUGUAGAUCGC